rnacentral:rRNA from 1 species
UGAUCCGGUGGUUCUGAAUGGAAGGGCCAUCGCUCAACGGAUAAAAGGUACUCCGGGGAUAACAGGCUGAUACCGCCCAAGAGUUCAUAUCGACGGCGGUGUUUGGCACCUCGAUGUCGGCUCAUCACAUCCUGGGGCUGAAGUAGGUCCCAAGGGUAUGGCUGUUCGCCAUUUAAAGUGGUACGCGAGCUGGGUUUAGAACGUCGUGAGACAGUUCGGUCCCUAUCUGCCGUGGGCGCUGGAGAACUGAGGGGGGCUGCUCCUAGUACGAGAGGACCGGAGUGGACGCAUCACUGGUGUUCGGGUUGUCAUGCCAAUGGCACUGCCCGGUAGCUAAAUGCGGAAGAGAUAAGUGCUGAAAGCAUCUAAGCACGAAACUUGCCCCGAGAUGAGUUCUCCCUGACCCUUUAAGGGUCCUGAAGGAACGUUGAAGACGACGACGUUGAUAGGCCGGGUGUGUAAGCGCAGCGAUGCGUUGAGCUAACCGGUACUAAUGAACCGUGAGGCUU